rnacentral:rRNA from 1 species
UACAGAGGGUGCAAGCGUUAAUCGGAAUUACUGGGCGUAAAGCGCGCGUAGGUGGUAGUGCAAGUUAGAUGUGAAAUCCCCAAGCUUAACUUGGGAAUUGCACCUAAUACUGCACCACUAGAGUCGAAUAGAGGGAAGUGGAAUUUCCGGUGUAGCGGUGAAAUGCGUAGAUAUCGGAAAGAACACCAGUGGCGAAGGCGGCUUCCUGGAUUCAGACUGACACUCAGGUGCGAAAGCGUGGGGAGCGAACAGG